GGCAUUGAGCUGUAGGACUUGGAAUUUAAUACGUCUAUUCCUCUGGCAAUUUACCUCUGCCAAUGGCAAGGAGGUUAUGUUUUCAAUGUUGCUUGUCUGCCUGUAAGCGGGGUUAAACAAAAACUACUCAUUAUUUCUUAAUGAAAAUUAUUAGAAAAUUGUAGAAUAGACUAGGAAAGUAUUAAAUUUUGAGAACCAUCCCAAAAGAAAUGAUUGAAUAAUGGCAAUUAUAGUAUAAAAUAAAUGACUGACUGAAUGACUCCACUGAUAGGAGGGGUUCAAAAGUGAAAGAUGGAUGAAAGUCUUGGGGUGACAGCACCAAAAAAUUCCUCAAUUCAUGCCAACAAGAUGCAAAUCUAAUGAUCACAUCAUCAAGAUGGUGGAAAAUAAACACUGAACAAGAUAUGCUGAGGCGCUUCCUUUCAGCAGAAAAUAUUUUUUUUUGAGAAAAUUGACACAUAGAGACUUCACAUAUCUUUAAAGUUGCUGAUAUUGUCAAGAACAAUAUACUGAAAAUCAGUGAUGACAAGAUCCUACUGUAAUCAUUAUGUAUGAGAAAAUUGUUGAUCAUGGAUUGUACACAAAAAAUGUGAUUAUACUGUUCCAAAAAUUCAAUAAUUAAUAUUGUAGGGACAACAUAACUCUUCAUCAGCUAUAACAAAUAUAAUUUAUAUGUAUAGAAGAAUAACCCAUCGCUUCUAGCCGGCACACAGACAAAGGAUUGCACCAUAUAAAUAUCUUCCCCCCCCCCUCUACCCCCUCAACCCCAGUCCUUCAUCAUAACAAAUUUUUCUCUCUCUCUCUCUCUCUCUCUCUCUCUCUCUCUCUCUCUCUCUCUCUCUCCUGCCACACCAUGCAUUCCAUACAUUUAACCACCUAAAUCACUCAACAAAUUAACCCUGUCCCGUACCAUGACGCGAUUCGCUUCAAAACGAAAUCGUCUACAACUGAGCUAUUGACUCGAAUCGUGUCAAAAAAAGUAUCUUUCAGAAUCGCAUCAAAAUUUUAUGCAUCAAAAAUCCAAGCUUGACCUAUAAAAUAAACUAAUCAUCAACUCUCAUGCCGUUGGAUUUGAAGUGAUAAAUGCCCGUGGCUUUGUUGCCUCUUGGCAGACAGCCUGUGAGCGGGGACUGUCAUCCCUUUGUGUCCAGAGCCUGGUAAGCCUAGAUUAUAGUUGUCAGACGAAAUUGGUGAAAUUUAUUCUUACUUUUGAUGUCGAGUGAUCGUGCCGCGAUACAAUAUUUUGUUUUAUAUUCAGAGGGACCAGUAACUGUUACUAUUAGAAAAUAUGGUUUAGAAAUUAUCAAGUGAAAAGAUUUUGAGACCCAUUUGUACAGAGCAUGAUAAUGAUUCUCAUGAAAGUGAUGGUGAUGAUGGAAAAAGUGAAAAAAACUCCAGCAGAGAGUGUUAGGGAGAGAGACUUAGAGGCAAUCAUUAUGAUUAUUUUUUGCGUCUGGCGAAGUUCUUCCAGACAGCAAAUAAUCGUUUUGUUAUUGUUAUCAAAAACUAUUCCAGCCAAAAUUGACUUCUAUUUUGACCGCCUUGACCUGCCCGUUGUGUUUUGAUUGAUGCCCUUGAGCUGUUUCUUCUACUGGAGAGAACAGAAUAGAUAGAAAAAUAUAGUUUCCCUCCAUUUUCUCGAGAACUACUGGUUGUAUGAAAAUUCUAAUGAUAGCGUUGGAAUCCUCAUAAAAAUACCCUUUUAUUGGCAUAUAAAUCAUAAAAAGUCGAUUCAGGAUGUUUUGAGCUACGAGGUGGUGAACGUAAGGAUUUUUUAUUUAUCUUUGAUCAAUGUUUUUAUCGGAGUCGGUAAACUUCGCUAUUUAUUUGCAUUUCUUGAUAUUGUUUUCUUUCAUAAAGCAGAAUAAUCUCUUCCAAAACCAACGAUGUAAUAAUGCCAGGAAAAAGAAUACUCGUGGAUGAAAUCGAUAACAUGAAAAAAAAUUUCACCGCAUGCUCAGGCCAUUUCGCGAGGUCCCUUAGGAAGCCCCAGACGGAUGUCGCAGUGGAAGGAGAAACUUAUUAAACUUUUUGUGCAUGAAAGGGUUAAAUGACUUAAAUUUGAAUGAUAUUUCAUUUUCAAAUCUUAUCAUGUGCAUAUCAACAAAAUUAUGAACUUGUAUUCCAUUAACCCCCAAACUUGGAGUACUUGUUCACGUGCCAUACAGGUUAUUUUAGUAGGUGCCGAGCACUAAAGUUAAUUAGUUUCAGGUCAAUUACUCAAAAACCAUCACUCCAAUCAGAUUUAUUUUGGUUUCACUAGAUUCAGCUUACAGGUAACUCGAAUUACGUGAGUUUGGUUUACGCGUUUUUGAAAUAAAUACGUUUUUUUUCACUUAUACGCGAUAUUUUAUGGAGUGGCCACCAGAUGUCUCACGCUACUGGACUCACAUGGUGUCGCGGCCACACAGCUGAGCUCAGUUCUUCCCGCGCGCCACUUGAACAACAAUACAGUACCCACGCUGCCAUGCUACUCAACAACAACAACAUCCUCGCUGCUGUGCUACCACGAGGGGAAGGGCAGCCAGAGGAGGAACCACGAGAGGGAGAGGAGUCAGAGUGAUACAGUUGGCAAUAAAGGUACAAACCUACCUCUUGUUUGAUUUACAAUGUUUUUGAUUUACGCGACCUCUUCAAGGACACAAUACUCGCGUAAAUUGAGAGUUACCUGUGCCUGGAACUUGACUAAGAAUGAGAUCAAGCUUUAGUGGGAGCAGGAGAGGUGGGUAUGUGGGUGAGGGAGCAUUAGCUGUGUGUUUCUCAAUAUUUCCAGAUGCAAAAAAUACACUGAUGAUCAAGAAAAAUGUCCAAUUUCAGCACAGUACAGUUUGUUUAGUAUCAUUCAGUAGUUUCGGAGAAAAAAAUGUUAAAGUUUGAUGUGAUGUAUUUUUCUCCAUACAAUCUAUUUUUGCUACAUUCACUGGAAUAUUUCAGCACGAAAUGGCUUGCGGGAUAUUAUAGCUACACCUGCAACCAUGGCCAAGGCUGCCGAUGUCAUAUAGCUACACCCAUAGUCCAGUAAUGGUUAAACAGUAGCUGCGGGGAUUAUGUUUCUUAAAGGCCCCUCUAAGCGAAUUUAUGAGAAAAAAUCAUCACUUAUGCAAACCAUUAUAUUUAUGUAUCAAUGCAUUUGGGAUCAGUUUAUGUAUCCUCUACUUUGGGGGGUUCAUGUCAAGGCAAGAAUUUGGCCCAUUGCUGGUAUGCGGUAAAGCCACAAAUUUGGCCCGUCGCUGCUACCGGGUUAAGCUCCCAGGAUUAUCAGAUAAGUGCAUAAUAUUUCACAAGUAAUUUUGUCAAGUUUUUGUGUUACCUAAUUAGUUGGCAGAGAAUGUCUCGCCCUUUAUGGAUAAAAAGUGCUUGUGUGUCUCACCUUAACACUGGGUGGGAUACAUCAACACACUCAAGACGUCCAUAGAGGUGUCCGGCAUUAUUUAUCAUGAUCAAGAUCAAGACCCUUACCUCAUAAUUGACUGAUUAACUAAAUGACUAAGAUUGACUAACAUGAUUUUGUGACUGUGAUGUGGUUGCUUAAUACAGAUACUUAUAAAAAUCCUCACUUUACUGUUGCAUACUCCCCAUGAAGUGUCUGCCAUUUUCUUUUCCUACUUCAGAUGCUUAAGCAUAUUAUACCAUGUGAAUUAUUUACUAAUGAAUGCUUCUCUCUAUAAAAAUCAGGCAACAAGAAUAUGAAAUGGGUAAUAAAAACUGGAUCAUAACUACAAGUAGCUGUUCAGCUGAAAUAUAAACAAAAUGGUCAUAUUGGCAUUGGAGGGCUGGGCAGGUACUGGUAUCAAAACAGGUGCUGACAGUACCAACAAUAUGACACAGAAUCAGUACCAGACUGGUCAGCACCAAUACCAGUGGGUACCACCAGUGCAGUACCGUAUUCAGUAUUUUUGAUACUAACAAGUCAUCAUAUGCGUAUAUGUAAUUUUAAUGGGUGCAUGUAUGAAGACUUGUGCUUGUAGUUAGGAUCCAGUUUUUAUUAUCUUAUUUUCAAAGAAUAAAGCGUUCAUUAGUAAAUAAUUCGCAUGGUACUAUAUGUUUAACCCUUUGCCGCUCAAGAAACCUGGUCGGGAUACCUAAACACGUGAUUUCAUAAGCAUUUCAAGCCACCCAUUGAUGACAUACAUGGCAUCUGUUUGUCUCAGCCAAUAGAAGCAUCUUUCGUCACACUCUCCAGCCAAUCACAGCUCCUUAGCCCACCUGACAGUUAUGCUGGGAGCGAGAGAAUGCAUCAGUAUGGGCCGAGAGUCGGAAGUGAGCGGAUUUCCGUAAAGCUGCUCCUCUUCUUGCUCCCCCAACACCUAACACAAUGGAGGUACCAAGGCAGUAGUCUCCAGGCCCACCAGGAGCUCCCCUGCUCCACAUAUCUCCCUACCGAAGUGGUGACAGAGGGAAUCUAUCCCAACUCACGCUGAGCGGCAGGACACCACCGUUCACCACUUGCCUCACUACGUCCUCAUGUAGCAAACCUGCAGGCACUGCAGUAAGAAGGGAGAUAUCCACCUGUUCAGGUGCAACCUGCCAGGCCGCCUUUGUCUAUCAGACACAAGGUAUUGCUCUGCUCCAUUCCACCAGCAGACCCAAUCAGCUGCCCAGUAAUGGAUGUCCACCUUUCCCAAUGAAUGUGGGAGACCUGACACGUCUAUUGCUAUUUUUUGUCUGUACAGUCGCGAUAUGAAGUGAUGUCACCAUGUACGUUUAUUUUCGAUCACGCAAGUAUCGUUAUAUAUUUUCAAGAGUACCAUUAUUUUCCUGUAUCUUCAUCAUAACUUAACUAAAUAUAUUUUAGAAGCUAGAAAAAAAAAUAGAAAAGAAAUAUUCAGUGAUGUCUUACGAAGAGUUGUCGAAAUAUUUUGACACAAAGUGUUUUCGUUCACCAAGGAACAAGUCAAAUGAAGUCCAAAUAUUGAAAUAUUACUCAAACAGAAAGUAAAAUUAUUUUUUCAUGAUCAUUGUUGACAACACUAAAUCUAACAUAUGCACAAUAUAUAGGACAUGCAUAAUUAGUCAAUAUCCUAAACUAGGAUGGCAUAAUUGAUUUAAUUUAAACUCUCGUAUGAUGAUGGCGUCAUCGCCCACGCACCAAACCUAUUAUUCAGCCCUGAUUCACUCUUUGCCUUUCGUAGUCAACAUAACGAUAACAAAACCUUUCCGUGGACUUCUAAUGCAUGAUAGUGAUCAAGGGAAGAUGCCCACAGCCUAUAACUACCGUGGGAUAGUCGGAGAUGGAAAAAUAGGAAUAAAUAGCUUCAGAACAGUCGUGUUUUGUAAUUCCAAGCUCACUCUUUGCCGCCGAUCGCAAAUAUCAUUGCCUUUCUGGGUCAAUAUAACGAUGACAAAAGCUUAUAUAAUAUAUAUAUAUAUAUAUAUAUAUAUAUAUAUAUAUAUAUAUAUAUAUAUAUAUAUAUAUAUAUAUAUAUAUAUAUAUAUAUAUAUAUAUAUAUAUAUAUAUAUAUAUAUAUAUAUACCAACUGUUUUGCAAAGAUAAGCACACGACGUGAGCUAAAUCAUUUCAAGGUUGUCUUCAGUACUGAGGACAACACGUGACAUUCGCAGUCGCUUUUUUUAAAGCAACUGAAUGUAUAAUUGUAAUUCAGGUACUACUAUGUUAUUUUACCGUGUUUUACAUCACAACGUCUUAUAGAUUAUCAUUAAAAGGGAACAUUAUAACAUAAACACUAAGUACACAUCACUUUGGUUACCUUCAAAUGCUCCUGUACGAAACAUUUUGAGAGCGGCGACAUCACUUCAUAUCGCAACUGUACAUAUAAUAAUAAAUGAUAAAAAAGCAGGGACUUUUUUCAUUUGCCUGCAAAGCAACCUAGUAGUUCAUUAUACAUUUAGAACAGUUUAUAAGGAAGAUUUACUUCUAAGACAAAUAAUUCUUAUAAAAAGAAGAUUAUUUACAAAUUUUUAAAUAAUAAAAAUAAUGAAAGAAAUUUUUUAUACCAAAACAGGCAAAGUAGCCCAGACGGGAUGUUUAGAGAUGUUGACAAUUAUCUGCUAAUUGGGCCACUAGCCCAUGUGGUCUACUUUGAUGCAACUUUGCAAUGGAUAGUUGUGUCAAAUUGAAAAAUAUGAGUAAAAAUGUCUUAGAAAGGCCUCAAUUUUAACAAAUUUAAAGUUUUUUUAUAUAUCCUGCAUUUCUACGAGUGCCCGGCAAAGGGUUAAGCACCUCAAGUUGAAAAAGAAAAUGGCAAAGACUUCAUGGGGAGUAUGCAACACUGAGGAUUUUGAUAAAACAUUUGUAAAAAGUUUAUAGUACGUAUAGCUGAUGAAUGAUGCUAAAUAUGAGAUUUUAUGCUGAUUUAUGCAUGUACACAGCGUCCUUUCCUUCAGAAUGGCCAAACUGUCCAAAAGCAGAUUGUGAAUGUUUGGAAUG